GCCUGGCUGGCUCAGUUAGAACAGCAUGUGACUCUCAAUCUUGGGUUUGUGAGUUCGAACCCCACGUUGGGUG
rnacentral:tRNA from 1 species